AUUGAACGCUGGCGGCAUGCCUUACACAUGCAAGUCGAACGGUAACGCGGGGCAACCUGGCGACGAGUGGCGAACGGGUGAGUAAUAUAUCGGAACGUGCCCAGUAGUGGGGGAUAGCCCGGCGAAAGCCGGAUUAAUACCGCAUGAGACCUGAGGGUGAAAGCGGGGGAUCGCAAGACCUCGCGCUAUUGGAGCGGCCGAUAUCAGAUUAGGUAGUUGGUGGGGUAAAGGCCUACCAAGCCGACGAUCUGUAGCUGGUCUGAGAGGACGACCAGCCACACUGGGACUGAGACACGGCCCAGACUCCUACGGGAGGCAGCAGUGGGGAAUUUUGGACAAUGGGCGCAAGCCUGAUCCAGCCAUGCCGCGUGCGGGAAGAAGGCCUCGG
rnacentral:rRNA from 1 species